AUUGAACGCUGGCGGCAGGCCUAACACAUGCAAGUCGAACGAGUGGCGGACGGGUGAGUAAUGUCUGGGAAACUGCCCGAUGGAGGGGGAUAACUACUGGAAACGGUAGCUAAUACCGCAUACCAUCGGAUGUGCCCAGAUGGGCUUAGCUAGUAGGUGGGGGAACGGCUCACCUGGGAGACGAGCCCUAGCUGGUCCGAGAGGAGGACCAGCCACACGGGAACUGAGACACGGUCCAGACGCCUACGGGAGGCAGCAGUGGGGAAUAUUGCACAAUGGGCGCAAGCCUGAUGCAGCCAUGCCGCGUGUAUGAAGAAGGCCUUCGGGUUGUAAAGUACUUUCAGCGAGGAGGCGUUACUCGCAGAAGAAGCACCGGCUAACUCCGUGCCAGCAGCCGCGUAAUUC
rnacentral:rRNA from 1 species